AAAACAUCUUUUCUUGAUUAUAUUUGAAAUUUGACCUGCCCAAUGAUUUAAUUUAAUGGCCGCGGUAUUUUGACCGUGCAAAGGUAGCAUAAUCAUUAGUUUAUUAAUUGUAAACUUGUAUGAAUGGUUUGACGAAAUAUUAUCUGUCUCAUUUUUAUUAUUAGAAUUUAAAUUUUAAGUUAAAAUGCUUAAAUGUUAUUAUUGGACGAGAAGACCCUAUAGAUCUUUAUUUAUUUAUUUUUUUUAUUUUUUAGUUUAUUAUUUUUAUUAAAUUUAAGUUUAUUUUGUUGGGGUGACAUAAGGAUUUGAUUAACUCCUUAUUUUUAUUAAUCAUUUAUUAAUGAAUAUUUGACCUUUUAUUAUUGUUUUAAGAUUUAGAUACCUUAGGGAUAACAGCGUAAUUCUUUUUGAGAGUUCUUAUCGACAAGAGAGAUUGCGACCUCGAUGUUGGAUUAAGAUUAUAGCUAGGUGUAGGUGUUUAGUUAUAUAGGUCUGUUCGACCUUUAAAAUCUUACAUGAUCUG
rnacentral:rRNA from 1 species